AACUCCUGUGCACCUGCAGAUAAUCACAAAGACCGACACACAUUCACCCACACAGACAGAGAGAGGGGGAUAUGGGACAGCCACUCAGAGAGUGGAAGAUGUGUUAGGCGUGUCUGUGGCUGUCCCAGGAAUGGAUGUAACAAAAAGCCUUAAUGUCUCCGGCACUAAGUGUGUUACAAGCACAUUUAACAUUAACAAUGGAUUGAACGAUUUCUUUUGUAGAAAAUCUUCCACAGCAUUUUGGAGGUUCCACCGAGAUCAUUAUCCUGUGGCUGUCUUCUAGAAGGACAUCAUUCACUUUUUUAGAGAUGCUCAGUGGUCUCCUCCCAGAAAGCAGAGCACAGUUGAAAGUGGAACUGCAGGGGAAGACAGCAAAGGAGCUACUGCAAUGCCACCUGCUGGCCAUACACCUCCACCAUAUACUGGAUAAUUGUACCAAGCCUUUAAGAUAUCUAUCAAACGUACCAUAGGUGUUAGUGUUGGGGCAUCGUCUUCCUUUCCAAGAGAAGUGUGCUUGUUGCCAUCACCAGACCAGAGUGUUGUUCCCAGAGGAAAAGCUGAGGCAACAGCUCAACCAGAGUGGCUACAUUAUGUCAGGGGUCCAUUUCCAGCGGGACUGGCGUGCAUCCCAGGUUACUUCACAUAUAAGAGACGUUUUUGGGACCAAGAUACCGGAAACAAUAUCUGUAUCUGCUGCAGUUUUUCAUAACUAACUUAACUACUGCACUGUACAUAUCUUUUCCAUCUGUAAGUUUUCCUUUCUACCUAACUUCCCUUCACUGACCAUUUUCCCCACUACGUACUGACAUUUUAAAGGUACUGCUGAAUGUUGUAAAUCCCUGAGGCUGUUUUGGUUUGAUGUAGUCUCUAUGUUAUUUAUUGUCUGUUUUUCUAUUGUUUUA